rnacentral:rRNA from 1 species
AUACGUAGGGGGCGAGCGUUGUCCGGAAUGAUUGGGCGUAAAGGGCGCGUAGGCGGCCUGUUAAGUCUGGAGUGAAAGUCCUGUUUUCAAGAUGGGAAUUGCUUUGGAUACUGAUGGGCUUGAGUGCAGGAGAGGUUAUCGGAAUUCCCGGUGUAGCGGUGAAAUGCGUAGAGAUCGGGAGGAACACCAGUGGCGAAGGCGGGUAACUGGACUGCAACUGACGCUGAGGCGCGAAAGUGUGGGGAGCAAACAGGAUUAGAUACCCUGGUAGUCCACACUGUAUACGAUGAAUGCUAGGUGUAAGAGGUAUCGACCCCUUUUGUGCCGGAGUUAACACAAUAAGCAUUCCGCCUGGGGAGUACGGCCGCAAGGGUGAAACUCAAAUGAAUUGGCGGGG